rnacentral:rRNA from 1 species
CCCACAGGCCGUAAACCCAAGGUUUCCAGGGGAAGGUUCGUCCGCCCUGGGUUAGUCGGGACCUAAGCUGAGGCCGAAAGGCGUAGGUGAUGGACAACAGGUUGAUAUUCCUGUACUACCGAUAACCAUUUGAGAGAAGGGAUGACACAGUAGGAUAAGCUAAGCACACUGUUGGUUAUGUGUGCCCAAGCAUUGAGGCAGUCAAAGUAGGCAAAUCCGCUUUGAUAAUGCUGGGAUGGGAUGGGGAGCGAAAUUUAGUAGCGAAGUAGCUGAUUUCACACUGUCAAGAAAAGUCUCUAUCGAGGUUAAAGGUACCCGUACCGCAAACCGACACAGGUGGGUGAGGAGAGUAUCCUAAGGCCAGCG